rnacentral:ribozyme from 13 species
AAAACCCCUCACACAAACACACAAAAAAAAAACAACACACAAAAAAACACAACACACAACACACAACCACAAUAAAACUUUGUCUUUGUCUUUUUUCUUUUUUCCUCUCUUUCUUCCUUUUUUUUUUUCCCUUUCCUUUCCGCUUUU